CCUACGGGAGGCAGCAGUGGGGAAUAUUGCACAAUGGUGGAAACACUGAUGCAGCGACGCCGCGUGAGUGAAGAAGGAUUUCGGUACGUAAAGCUCUAUCAGCAGGGAAGAAAAUGAUGGUACCUGACUAAGAAUCCCCGUCUAACUACGGACCACCAGCCGCGGCAAUACGUAGGGGGCCAGGGUUAUCCGGAUUUACGGGGUGUAAAGGGAGAGUAGGCGGCAGCGACAGUCUGUAGUGAAAUACCAUGGCUUAAACCUGGAACGGCUUUGGAAACUGUGUAGCUAGAGUGCAGGAGAGGUAAGCGGAAUUCCUAGUGUAGCGGUGAAAUGCGUAGAUAUUAGGCGGAACACCAGUGGCGAAGGCGGCUUACUGGACUGUAACUGACGUUGAGGCUCGAAAGCGUGGGGAGCAAACAGGAUUAGAUACCCCUGUAGUC
rnacentral:rRNA from 1 species